UGAACGCUGGCGGCGUGCCUAAUACAUGCAAGUCGAGCGAACGGACGAGAAGCUUGCUUCUCUGAUGUUAGCGGCGGACGGGUGAGUAACACGUGGAUAACCUACCUAUAAGACUGGGAUAACUUCGGGAAACCGGAGCUAAUACCGGAUGAUAUUUUGAACCGCAUGGUUCAAAAGUGAAAGACGGUCUUGCUGUCACUUAUAGAUGGAUCCGCGCUGCAUUAGCUAGUUGGUAAGGUAACGGCUUACCAAGGCAACGAUGCAUAGCCGACCUGAGAGGGUGAUCGGCCACACUGGAACUGAGACACGGUCCAGACUCCUACGGGAGGCAGCAGUAGGGAAUCUUCCGCAAUGGGCGAAAGCCUGACGGAGCAACGCCGCGUGAGUGAUGAAGGUCUUCGGACCGUAAAACUCUGAUAUUAGGGAAGAACAUAUGUGUAAGUAACUGUGCACAUCUUGACGGUACCUAAUCAGAAAGCCACGGCUAACUACGUG
rnacentral:rRNA from 1 species